rnacentral:lncRNA from 1 species
UCAUGGAUACUAUAAAAGCUUGUCUUCACCUGUAUUGCUUAUCAAAACAUACCUAUCAUAUACAAUUCAUUGUACUACAACAUUUCUUCCAAUACUUUGCACUUACUGUUUUUCCAACUUUGAAGCAGUGUGUACUUACUUAGGAGUCAGGAGUACCCUGAGUAGGUAAAUUACAUCCCUAUGGUCUGGAACACAGUAAAAGCAAAAAGGCUUUUGAUUCAGUGAUUUGUGCUUUCUUCCUUCUGCACCUUCCUGCAGACACUGUUGGCAGAGAAGCUGAAUUGGCACCCUGGGCUUGGGCAACUGCUGCUAAAAGACGGUGUCCUGGGAGCAGAACUUUCCUGUAACUGAGUGAUUCCUCCCGUUGGUUUCAGACCAGUGUAAUUGAUUCUUGUUCUUCUUUUCUUUGUUUUGUCAUUUAAUUCUUUAAUUAAACUCUCUUGUUAUUGGGAUUAAAAUCAUUGUAACCUGCCCCAGUUUUUCUUAUCUUGCUCUUUGAAGAUAUGAGAGUUCUGAACUUUCUAAUCUCAGGGCUGAAUGAAUACAAUUCAACCUCAUGUCUUAGAAUAGGGAUUCUCAUUCAAAGAGGCUGGCUUCUUGGGGGGGUGUGUUACCACAACCUUGAGGUAGAAAGUAAGAGGGAAGAGGGGCUGCCAGUUGAUGAAAAAAGCAUAUUCAGUAUUCUAAGCUAAUUAAAUCAAAACAAAUGAAUUUGUUCUGCUAACCAAGACAUAGAGAGUUAACCCUAUAAAAUCUCCUUUAUGGGCAUACAAGUUAGCAACUCCCAACAAGAUGAGUAUCUCUCUCUCCAGGUCAGAGUUGCCGAAUAUCUGUAAAGUGAUGGGCUACCUUCAAGAGAAAUGUACAGGGUUGUUCUCAAAAGCAUCAUUUGUAAUAGCAAACUCGGAAAGAAUUGGAAAAAAACUAAAGAUCCAUCAAAGGCAGAGUAGCUGAAUAAGGUCAUAUCAUGGAGUGGGGUAUUAUUGGGUCAUUGAUGUGGAUGAACAGAUGUGCUGAUAUUGGCAGAUCUCCAACACACAUUUCAAGUUAAAACCACAACAGCAUGUAGGACACAAUGAAUAGUAUGAUCCCUUUAGUAUAAAAAUGGUCCCAAACCCUAUAAAAGCUGUAAACAUCCCUCUCCCUGUCAUUUACCAGCCUCUCUCUCAUUCUGUUUCUCUCUCCUGUGCUAUGACUUUUUUCUUCUCCUGGAAAGACACAUAAGAAUUAUGUUAGAAGGGUUAGUUUUGGGAAGAGAGACUAUGGGGACGGAAACGUAAAAAUUUCACUUUGUACUUUUUGUUUACAUUUUAAAAUCAUCUAACCAGCCGUCUCAUCAUUUAUUCUACAAAUACUUGUUGAAUGGCUACCACGUUUCAGGCGGUGCCCCUACUCUCUAAAAGAAUGGCGUGACCCUGACUUGAAGAAAGCUAAGCCUAGUGAGGAAAUAGACGGUAAUAAGGAAAUGUAGAAAAGAUAAUUCAAGACAGUUCUCAGAGUUAAGAAGAAUCAAAAAGGUCUUUAGUUAAAGAGUAACAGCAGAAGACUACUUUAGAUAGCAUAGUACUCAGCGCUUAAAUGCUCCAUAAAGCAAAGAAAACAAAACAAAAUAAAAUACUCCCAAAUGGAAUGCCUCACAACAAGCUCAGCUUUGCAAGUCAUUUGUGACUCAGCUGAUCUAAGCUGGGAUUUUCUGGGAAGCGCUGGGUUUGCGAGCUGAAGGCUGAGCUUAAUACUGCUCUGUAUUAGUCUGGUCUAGGGCCCAGGCUGGAAGUUCCAGCAGCCACUUGGAGAGGCUCUUUUCCUGAUAAAUCACCAGAGUGCAAAAGGGCCAAGUGAAACUGCACAAGCCAUUGCAGGCCUUUGCUUUUAUCAUGUCUACUGAUAUCUCAUUGGCCGAAUCAAAUCCUAUGGCCAAGUCCAGUGACAAUGGAGUGGAAAGUUACCCUCCACUCAUGGGGAUGGUGCUUGGAAGUAAAUAUUAUGCUGCAAAAUAUUUGACACUAUUGAUCAAGGCCUAUCUGAUCACUGAGUAGAAACUGCACAACUGUGAGCCAGAUUUGCUAAGACCACGGUAAGGUCUAGGGGUGAGAGUGAGGGACUUGAGCCAUUUCAAGCAGAGAAAAUAAUAAAUUCAAAAUUAUUAUCUAAAUUGUCAGUUGGUUGGUAGGAUUGUAAGUCAUUUUUUAUUUAAACGUUUCUGUAAAAAUUAACCUUAGUAAAUGGUCUUUCACAAAGGAGUAGCAUGCCAGAUCUGAGCUGCGUCUGUGACCUACAGCACAGCUCACGGCAGCACUGGAUCCUUAACUCACUGAGCGGAUCCAGGAAUUGAACCUAUAUCCUCAUGGAUACCAAUUGGGUUAGUUACUGCUAGACACAAUGGAACUCCUAGACUUUCUGGUUUUUCAAAAUGAUAUUCAGUCCGAUGAUAAAGUUCUCUAAGAGUUAUCAGAAAUGUCAUUGGACUGCUUACAUUUUUAUCCAGGGUAGUACUUAGCUAAACCACGGAGCAGGUUUUAGGGGCAGUGGUAAUCAGAAAUAAAUUUGCUUUUAUGAUUAUACCCUUUGAAUCUUGUCCAGCCUAUCAGUUACACUAACAUUUAUUAAAUUAAAGAUAGCCAUCAAAGCAUUGUGUUAAGGGUUUUCUAGCUGUUACCUCAUUCCCAAGAACACAGUAAGGUAAUUACUAUUAUCCUCAUUUUCUGGAUGAACACAUCAAAGGCAAGGGAGGUCAAGUGAUUGCCCAAGGUCACAGAAUAAUAAAUGUCAAAGCUGGGAUUCAAGUUUAAUCCAGUCCAUCUGACUGUGAGUCUGUGCUCCUAGUGGGUCUGAUUUCUUUCCUGGUGAAAAGCCCUUGUAGUAUGUGUGGGGUGUGACUGCACUCUCCACAGCUCCGUAUCCAUCCCCCAGGCCAAGCAGGCCCAGAUUCUAAAGCCACUUUUGCAGGGCAUGAGUUCAGUCUUUCUCCAUCCCAGUCAUUCUCCUUACCUUCCCCCCAUUUAUCACGUGUGGCCCUUGUGUAUGUGUGGAUACUAAAAAUUACAUUCGAUCACAUGUGUGCAUGUGACUUAGCGGGGGUGUCCUUGCCUAACCAUCGCGGGGCCCUGGGAGUAGGGAAGGGCCUCUUGGAUGCACUUUCUGCAGGAUCCCAUCUCUUCCUGUGCUUUUCCCCAGACUGGCCAUGGAGGAUCCUCCCUGUAGGCGCCUGUGCAAGGCGUAUCAAUUACCUCUUUAUGUGGACCUCCAGUUCCUUGAAUUUGAUGAGCUGCAGGGAGAAUUGGAUAGUGGCAGACGUUAAACAGCAAUGACAACAACAGCUCAGUUUCCCCAAAAAACUCUCUAGUAAUACUGGAAAUAGUUUUGUCCUUUGGUUUCCCAAACAUUCACUUAUUUAUACACUUGUCCAUGCAUUCAUUCACACAAAGAAAGCUUUACCGAGAGUCCCUGCUGCAUUAGGUCCUGCGAUGCAAGAAUGGAGAAGAGGAGUCCCCUGUCCUUGGGGAGCUCAGCUUCUAGACUGGGAAGUGGGUAUGUAAAUCAGUUGUCAUGCUCUGGUAAAAAAGUACUAAAUUGAGGUGUGAACCAGAUGCCAUGAGAACACCCAGGAAUAGGUAACUCAAAGUGUGCAGGAUGUCAAACUGUGUUAGUCAUGGCGUUGGGCCUAAAUUAGAAAACCAAAAAAACCCCCAGAAGCCAAAAAAAAAACCACACCCCCAAACUAUGAGAACCCUCCGUUUUGAAUUAUUCCUUUAUUUGACAGAAAUUUUUUUAUCUCCUGAAGGGCAAGGGGGGAUGAAUGCAGUGUCUUUGGUGCAGAAAGACCUGUUUGAUCUUGAAGCAAAUCACCCCAAGGAUUCCCCAUGAUUUUCAUAUUGUCCUUUUAUAAAGAGAGAUUUGGGUUACUGAGCCAGCGGGUCUGUCCCUGUGCCCGUCUGUCUCAGUCCCGCUGAUCCUUCUAGAGUGCUUUCUGGAAAGAGUGACCCGUUUGAUACCUUUGCCAUGUGCUGGCACAAGUAACCAAAUAGCUGCACAAAGAUAAGAGUUCAAGGGUAUUCGCUGAGGUGUUGCUUAUAACGACAAUAGGAAAUAUCCUAAAUAUCCAUCCACAGGGGAUUGAUUAAAUUCGUUCAGAACAUGCUGCAAUGUAAUGCCAAGCUGUUCUUUAAAAGAUGAAUAAGAUCUAUAUGUAUUAAUCAGGAAGAGUGUUAAUGAUACAUAAAGUAAAAAUUAAAAAGUGUAUUGAACUGUGUGUAAAUUAUUAUGGUUUUUUUCAUGUAAAUUAAUGUAUGCAUAAAAAUUCUGUUGGGAUGUAUUCCAAACUGAACAGAGGCUCUUGUGGAGGAAGGGGUAUGUGAAGUGCCUUGAAGGGAACUUCACUUUCUCUUUUAAGCACAUCUGUAUUUUUUGCAUUUUGAAUUAUUUUU